ACAUGUUAAUAGGUUAAUAUAUCUGAACAUUACUGAAACCUAUACAGUGGCAGUGUCCUUGGAAAAAAAAUAUAUGUAUUGUUAAGAAAUCAAUAACCUAACUUUUUUUGUUCUUUUUCUUUUGCUGCGUUUUGGCCUCUUUAGUUUCUAGAAUCCAGUCCAGCAUGGCUGUGCGGUCAGGUGUUCUUCUGUACUGGUUUCACGUUUUUUGCGCUGGCGUGUUUGCUGAUGUCUGGAAGGUAACUGUAGAGCCUGAAAUGAAGGCUCUGGUCUCAUCUUGUGUCGUGUUGCCCUGUUCAUUCAAAUACCCCGUUCAAGAACACCCCUCUGAUCGUAUUAGAGCUAUAUGGCACACGAAGGACAACUGGAAUGAUAUUAUUUUUCACAAAGACCCUACGAAGGUUAAAGACAGUUUCAAGGGUCGUACAAAACUGAUUGGUUCACUGGGUGGUUCCAACUGCUCCUUGGAGAUUUAUGAGGUCAAAAACCACGACAACGGGCCGUAUUGUUUCAGAGUGGAAUUAGAAACAUCUAAAAAAGACAAGUACUCCUUUGUGGAAAACUGUGUGUCGAUUAAAAUGAUCGAGCAAGCAUCAAAACCAGAGCUGCAGGCCGAACAGUCUGUGCAGGAGGGUGAACCUGCAGUCUUCACAUGCUCUGUCCGGCACACCUGUCCGUCCCACCAGCCCACUCUCACCUGGAACCACACUGGAAAAGUCAUCAUGAGCUACAAGAACAUUGGUCAUGGAAACUGGGAAACACAGUCUGUACUGACCUUCACCCCUCAAAAACAGGACGAUCACAGCGCUGUCGCAUGCACAGUCAAGCAUCACGGGAAUGUCAAGGGAGAAAUGACAGAGACUCACCGUAUCUUUGUGAAAGAACAAGCAACUCUCAGCCACAUUCUCAUACCAGUAAUCUCUGGUCUUGGAUCUGCUCUUUUGUUUGGAUUACUGUGUUUCUUCAUUGCCAAGAAGAGAUACGAGUCCAGAUCUGGAGAGUUUACACCUCAAGGGCGACAGAAUGUAAUCACCAGGAAAUCACAGGAAGAAGACACACACUCCACAGUUUUGUUCAGGAGCCAGUGAACAGAGGCAAAUAGCCUAUCCAGCAGCUUCUAAUGCAUUCUUCUGCAACAAACCAGGACAAAACACCUCCUCUGAUUCCCCUCUAGGACACUUCCCUGAGCCUCCUUCACCUCCUAGGUGUCCUACGCCUCCACUGGUUCCGUCCAUCCCUUCUUCAUCUCCUGAGCACCCCGACUUAAUCCCACGGCGGGCUCCCAAUCCCCAGUUAAGCCC